AUGCAGUCAAUUUGACCACCCUGUUCUCUGACCUGUGAGACCCGGGAAGAGAUGACUGCAAACAGGAAACAGACUCCUUGGUGGUGCUGAGGCUUGUGACAUGUACAAGUCUGUCAAAAGAACCCUGGAGACAGUU